AAUAGCGAGGACAUGGGGUGGUGCGGGUGGUGGGGUGACCGCGGAGGGGUUGUACGGGAUCCGGGCAGGGUCAAGCUCCGGGAACAACGCGAUGGUUCUGUGGAGUAGGGUCAGCUGGAUGGACCUGGGCCUAGGCCUUGGCCGCCUGGUUAGCGCUCGGGGGCUGCGGUGUUCCCGCCGGCAAAGCCGCGGAUCCCAGCAAGGUGAAAGCGCUGAAAGGCCACAAUCUUCAUCAGAGACAACAAAGAUACCCAAGAUUUACACCAAAACAGGAGACAAAGGCUUUUCCAGCACCUUCACUGGGGAAAGGAGACUUAAAAAUGACCAAGUGUUUGAGGCCCUGGGAACAACUGAUGAAUUAAGUUCCGCUAUCGGGUUUGCCAUAGAAGUCAUCACAGAAAAGGGCCAUACAUUCGUGGAUGAACUUGAGCAAGUCCAGUGCAGGCUGCAGGACGCCGGCGCAGCCAUCGCCACGCCACUGCCUUCGGCCAGGGAGGCCCACUUGAAGCGCACCGCGUUCAGUGAGGACGCCGUCCUGGACCUGGAGCGCCGCAUAGACGUCUACACGGGCCAGCUCCCCCCCCUCACGGCCUUCAUUCUGCCCUCGGGAGGCCAGAGCAGCGCCGUCCUCCACCUGUGCCGAGCCGUGUGCCGCCGAGCAGAGAGGAGCGUGGUCCCUUUAGUCCAGGCCGGGCAGACGGACGCCAGCGUGGCCAGAUUCUUGAACAGGUAAUCAGUCCGCAGGCAAGACCCGCACUCCCCGCUGGCUCCCAGGAUGCCGAGCUUCAUUCGCAAAUGGGGUCCUCAAGCCUGGCGCCCUCCGGAGCUCACGACUCAGUGACUAUCUCUUCACUUUGGCCCGAUAUGCAGCCAUGAAGGAGGGGAAGGAAGAAAAAAUAUACCGGAGACGAGACCCGGCCCCUAAGGCUGGCCCCUGAGGCAUGCUGGGAAAAUCCUGGAGGCUGGGGAAGGAGGGGAGCCCGUCCUGCAGAAAGGCCCGAUGCCCCCCUAAUGCCAGGCCCACUUCGGCCGCCCCCGAGUCUCACCCUCGGUCGGGAUCCUGAGGCACCGGGCAGGGUCUCUGCAAACAAAGCUGUUGAACCUUUGCAGGCCGGGUGGCUGACAAAUAAAAGCGAUGUCCGAG